UACGAAGGGGGCUAGCGUUGCUCGGAAUUACUGGGCGUAAAGCGCACGUAGGCGGCUCUUUAAGUCGGGGGUGAAAUCCUGGAGCUCAACUCCAGAACUGCCUUCGAUACUGAAGAGCUCGAGUCCGGGAGAGGUGAGUGGAACUGCGAGUGUAGAGGUGAAAUUCGUAGAUAUUCGCAAGAACACCAGUGGCGAAGGCGGCUCACUGGACUGGUAUUGACGCUGAGGUGCGAAAGCGUGGGGAGCAAACAGG
rnacentral:rRNA from 1 species